rnacentral:lncRNA from 1 species
UACACGAAGUAGGGAGAGUUGAGACCCUUUGGUAGGAUUAGAUGAGGGAACUGGGCUCCUUUCAGAAAGAGAAAGGAAAUAGCCCCUGCAUCUCUGUGCUGACAGUCCCUGGUUUUGACUCUUGCCUGUGCGCAGGCCACAUUGCUCCUCCUAGAGCAGGUCCCCAUGCCUGCCCAAAUUCACCUGCUGUUCCGUAAGACCAGGCUCCUAGCAACAAGCCCAUCUAAUCCAUUCAGUGUCGACCCUCAGUCAAAGGAACAAGUGAUGGAAGUACAGUUAGUUAGAAGAAGGCGUUAUCAGAGGUCAUCCAGCCACCUUCACACACAGGUUUAUGUUUAGAAACCGAUCACACAGCUAAGCUGUCCUGGCUGAGCGUUACCAACCAGGCUCACCCUCCGAGGACUGUACUCUACCUACCACUUCCCACCAUCCUGUGACAGGCACUCUCACCCUCACUGUAAGGUAAGAACAUCACGACAGUGUUACAUUUCAUGUAUUUAGCACAGAGAAUUCUAAAAUACAUUUUUUUCAGUUUUGAAGAGUUCAGGGAC